GGAGGGAUCGCAUAGUGGCCUAGUGCAGCGGUUUACUAAACCGCCGUGUCGCAAGAUACCGUGGGUUCAAAUCCCACUCCCUCCGCCA
rnacentral:tRNA from 1 species